rnacentral:rRNA from 1 species
CUCCUGGAAACGGGUGGUAAUGCCGGAUGCUCCAGUUGAUCGCAUGGUCUUCUGGGAAAGCUUUCGCGGUAUGGGAUGGGGUCGCGUCCUAUCAGCUUGACGGCGGGGUAACGGCCCACCGUGGCUUCGACGGGUAGCCGGCCUGAGAGGGCGACCGGCCACAUUGGGACUGAGAUACGGCCCAGACUCCUACGGGAGGCAGCAGUGGGGAAUAUUGCACAAUGGGCGCAAGCCUGAUGCAGCGACGCCGCGUGAGGGAUGGAGGCCUUCGGGUUGUAAACCUCUUUUAUCGGGGAGCAAGCGAGAGUGAGUUUACCCGUUGAAUAAGCACCGGCUAACUACGUGCCAGCAGCCGCGGUAAUACGUAGGGUGCAAGCGUUAUCCGGAAUUAUUGGGCGUAAAGGGCUCGUAGGCGGUUCGUCGCGUCCGGUGUGAAAGUCCAUCGCUUAACGGUGGAUCCGCGCCGGGUACGGGCGGGCUUGAGUGCGGUAGGGGAGACUGGAAUUCCCGGUGUAACGGUGGAAUGUGUAGAUAUCGGAAAGAAACACCA